rnacentral:rRNA from 1 species
UACGUAGGGGGCAAGCGUUGUCCGGAUUUACUGGGCGUAAAGCGCGCGUAGGUGGAACGAUCAGUCCGGUCUGAAAGCCCCCGGCUCAACCGGGGAGGGUGGCUGGAAACUGUCGUUCUUGAGGGCGAGAGAGGAGGGUGGAAUUCCUGGUGUAGAGGUGAAAUUCGUAGAUAUUGGGAAGAACACCGGUGGCGAAGGCGGCGACCUGGUCCGAUACUGACGCUGAGGCGCGAAAGCUAGGGGAGCAAACAGG